rnacentral:hammerhead_ribozyme from 1 species
AUCGAAAUGACGAGUCCCAAAUAGGAUGAAACGCAUGUCCUGAAU